UAAUAUGAUGAAGUUGAGGUUGUAGUUGUAUUCAACAUGUUGAAGUAUUAGUUGUAUGUAAUACGUGGUAGUUGAGGUACUAGUUGUAUAUGGUAGUUGAGGUAGUGGUUGUAUUUAAUAUUUGGUAGUUGAGGUUGUACUUGUAUGUUUAAUAAUGCUGAGGAAUCUAAUGCUGGCUCUUGGUGGAGGCCCCUGGUUAGAGCCAGCUCUGUGCUCAGCGCUCUGUGUCAGAGUCUCUUCCCCCUCAGCAGCUGCAGCAGGUUCCUGCUGUAACAGCUCAGUCUACGCAGUGUGACUGAGGGAGGUUUUUGUACGGCUCUCAAACACUGUGUGAACACACUGCCACUAUGGCGACUCUGACAGUGAUAAACUGCUGCAUCUUCACGCUGGGCACCGUUGAUGGCCAGAGAUGCAAAGCUUCCUCUAUAUGGAAAUGACCUGUUUCCACUCAUCAGACGGGGGGUGAGAGUGACUGCAGACCUUCUGGGAGGACCGCUGUAUCUCUUUAACGUCCACACUUUUGGAAUACGAAAUUUGAUUUGGUGUAAAUAAUUGGAAUUGCAAUCUAUAGCAUUUUUUCUGGUUAAUUUGAUCUUGGUUUGUAUGAAAUUCAUUAAUUUUCUAAAUUGUGUAUAAAAAAAGUUACUCAUUACAUCGCAACCAAAAAUGCUUUAAUUAAUCGUAACAUAUUCUUUAUUUUUAUUAAAUGCAUGUUUAUUACAUCCAUUCUUUCAUUUUAAAAGUUUUUUGUGGACUGGUUUGGCUUGUUUAAUCGUUUUUUGUGAGGCUCCAAAGAUUGUUUUAAAAUAAAUGUAAAAUCGUUUCCUUAUAUUAAUUCAAUCUAAAGCAGAAAACAUUAGCUGCAGUGUAGCCCGUCAAAUAAUGAAUAAUUCAUCGAUUUUUGAGAAAAGCCAGUGUUUUUGUGGCAGUGAUAUGAGUCUUUAAAGUGAGGGAGGUUUUUGUACAGCCUCUUAAUGCGUUUGCAUCACUGUGGAGGACUUUUGGUGGAGGCACCAAACUCAUCGUUGACAUGGGAGUGGUGCAGCCCACGCUGAGCGUCCUCCCUCCCUCCAGAGUGGAGCUGGAGCAGGGCAGUGCUACACUAGUGUGUGUGGCCAGUGGGGGCUUCCCCUCAGACUGGAAGCUUGGCUGGAAGGUGGGGGGCAGCAGCAGGUCUGGGGGGGUGUCCGAUAGCCUGGGGGUCCUGGGGAAAGAUGGCCACUACAGCUGGAGCAGCACCUUGACCCUCCCUGCAGACCAGUGGAGGAAGGCGGGCUCAGUGAGCUGUGAGGCCAGUAAGAAUGGCCAGACGCAGCCUGUCACCCAAACUCUGAAUCCUGGAGAGUGUUCACAGUAGAGAGGCUCCAGCAUUGAAGUACUGGAGAACACAGAUCUCCUCUGACACGUCUGCUUUAUGUCUCUCUGUCUGAGGUGGCACUGCAGCUUUUGGAUGAAUUACAUUAAUAUAACUUGUGUUUGAUUCAUUAAUAUUAUGCUCUCUGGUUUUAUCCCCUUGCUUUGUCACAUGUUGAACAUGUAAUAAAGACGUAAAUAAUAAAUU